AUUGAACGCUGGCGGCAGGCCUAACACAUGCAAGUCGAGCGGAUGAAGGGAGCUUGCUCCUGGAUUCAGCGGCGGACGGGUGAGUAAUGCCUAGGAGUCUGCCUGGUAGUGGGGGAUAACGUCCGGAAACGGGCGCUAAUACCGCAUACGUCCUGAGGGAGAAAGUGGGGGAUCUUCGGACCUCACGCUAUCAGAUGAGCCUAGGUCGGAUUAGCUAGUUGGUGGGGUAAAGGCCUACCAAGGCGACGAUCCGCAACUGGUCUGAGAGGAUGAUCAGUCACCUGGGAGCUUGGACACGGUCCAGACUCCUACGAGAGGCAGCAGUGGGGAAUGUUGGGCAGUGGGCGGAAACCUGCUCCAGCCGUGCCACGUGUGUGAAGAAGGUCUUCGGAUUGUAAAGCCCUUUAAGUUGGGGGGAAGGGCAGUAAGUUAAUACCUUGCUGUUUUGACGUUACCAACAGAAUAAGCACCGGCUAACUUCGUG
rnacentral:rRNA from 1 species